rnacentral:rRNA from 1 species
UUUGAACGCACCUUGCGCUCCUUGGUAUUCCGAGGAGCAUGCCUGUUUGAGUGUCAUGAAACCCUCAAACCCAAGUUUUGGAUUUCGAUCCAUGCUUGAGUUUGGAUUUGGAUGUUUGCCGGUGAUGAACCGACUCAUCUUAAAAGUAUUAGCUUGGAUCUGUCUAUAUGACUGGUUUGACUUGGCAUAAUAAGUAUUUUGCUGAGGACAUCUUCGGAUGGCCAGGACCUAGACUACUGUCUGCUAACUAAACCAUCACUUUAAGUGCAUCUUUGGAUGUUACUCAUUGUGUAACUUUGACAUCUGGCCUCAAAUCAAGUAGGACUACCCGCUGAACUUAAGCAUAUCAAUAAGCGGAGGAAAAGAAACUAACAAGGAUUCCCCUAGUAACGGCGAGUGAAGCGGGAAGAGCUCAAAUUUGAAAUCUGGUGGCCUCAGGUCAUCCGAGUUGUAAUCUAUAGAAGUGUUUUCCGUGCUGGCUCAUGUACAAGUCCCUUGGAACAGGGCGUCAUAGAGGGUGAGAAUCCCGUCCUUGACAUGAACUACCAGUGCUCUGUGAUACAUUUUCAACGAGUCGAGUUGUUUGGGAAUGCAGCUCAAAAUGGGUGGUAAAUUCCAUCUAAAGCUAAAUAUUGGCGAGAGACCGAUAGCGAACAAGUACCGUGAGGGAAAGAUGAAAAGCACUUUGGAAAGAGAGUUAAACAGUAUGUGAAAUUGUUGAAAGGGAAACGAUUGAAGUCAGUCGUGCUCUUUGGAUUCAGCCGGUUCUGCCGGUGUACUUCCUUUGAGUGGGGUCAACAUCAGUUUUGAUCGCUGGAUAAAGGCUGGAGGAACGUAGUACCCUCGGGUAAACUUAUAGCCUCCUGUCACAUACAGUGGUUGGGACUGAGGAACGCAGCACGCCUUUAUGGCCGGGAUUCGUCCACGUACGUGCUU